GAUGCUAUGAUGAGAUGAAGGCACCAAUGGUGUUAUUGGGGCAGUGGACGAGAACUUGAGUUCUUGCCGUGAGCCCUUCUGUUAACGACUUCUCCUUCCACUGAGCUCC